rnacentral:rRNA from 1 species
CAGCGCCACGAGUGGUAACCACGUUUAUUGGGCCUAAAGCGUCCGUAGCCGGUUUGAUAAAUCUUUUGUGAAAUUGUACAGCUUAACUGUACAGCGUGCAAGAGACACUGUCAAACUUGAGACCGGGAGGAGUCAGAAGUAUUCCAGAGGGAGCGGUAAAAUGUUAUAAUCUCUGGAGGACUACUUGUGGCGAAGGCGUCUGACCAGAACGGAUCUGACGGUGAGGGACGAAAGCUAGGGGAGCGAACCGGAUUAGAUACCCGAGUAGUCC